ensembl:lncRNA
UGCUGGCCUUGAUUAUCUCUAUCCCAGCUAACCUUGAUUAUCUCUAUCCCUGCUGGUCUUGAUUAUCUCUAUCCCAGCUAACCUUGAUUAUCUCUAUCCCUGCUGGUCUUGAUUAUCUCUAUCCCUGCUGGUCUUGAUUAUCUCUAUCCCUGCUGGUCUUGAUUAUCUCUAUCCCUGCUGGUCUUGAUUAUCUCUAUCCCUGCUAACCUUGAUUAUCUCUAUCCCUGCUGGUCUUGAUUAUCUCUAUCCCUGCUGGUCUAUAUUAUCUCUAUCCCUGCUGGUCUUGAUUAUCUCUAUCCCUGCUGGUCUAUAUUAUCUCUAUCCCUGCUGGUCUUGAUUAUCUCUAUCCCUGCUGGUCUUAAUUAAUGAUCUCUAUCCCUGCUGGUCUUAAUUAUCCCUAUCCCAGUGCUGUUCUUGAUUAUCUCUGUCCCAGUGCUGUUCUUGAUUAUCUCUAUCCCAGUGCUGUUCUUGAUUAUCUCUAUCCCAGUGCUGUUCUUGAUUAUCUCUAUCCCAGUGCUGUUCUUGAUUAUCUAUAUCCCAGUGCUGGUCUAUAUUAUCUCUAUCCCAGUGCUGGUCUUGAUUAUCUCUAUCCCAGUGCUGUUCUUGAUUAUCUCUAUCCCAGUGCUGUUCUUGAUUAUCUCUAUUCCAGUGCUGUUCUUGAUUAUCUCUAUCCCUGCUGGUCUUGAUUAUCUCUAUCCCAGUGCUGGUCUUGAUUAUCUCUAUCCCUGCUGGUCUUGAUUAUCUCUAUCCCAGUGCUGGUCUUGAUUAUCUCUAUCCCAGUGCUGGUCUACCUUCCUUUUCAAUGUGUUAACCGAGACAGUAGAGAGUGGAAUUGUUUUAAGGCAAAGAUCACGUAGAGGUUGCAUUCCAAGUGACGCCCUAUACCUUAUAGACUCCACUACUGGUGACAGUCAAGGCCCAGAGGACUCUGAAUGAGCGCACCGUAAAACUUUAGUAUAAGGGUAGGUAAUAAACCAUUUAUAAACCAUUAAUAAACCAUUUAGAAACCAUUAAUAAACUAUUUAGAAACCAUUUAUAAAAUGUUUUCUCUCCAUGUAUUAAUCAUGACUCCCACAUGUGUAAAUGUCAAAUCAAAUCAAAUUUUAUUUGUCACAUACACAUGGUUAGCAGAUGUUACUGCGAGUGUAGCGAAAUGCUUGUGCUUCUAGUUCCGACCACGUAGUAAUAUCUAACAAGAAAUCUACCCUAACAAUUUCACACAACAACUACCUUAUACACACAAGUGUAAAGGAAUGAAUAAGAAUAUGUACAUAAAAAUAUAUGAAUGAAUGUCAGGAAGCAUAGUUAUUCAGACAUGUGUACAUAUAGUUCCUUAAACAUCCUGUGUUGUGCGUUGGUUCUAUCGCCAGGUACUGCUGGAAUGUCUACCAACAGCAUGUCCAUCAUGUUGUGACAAAUUACACCGCUCACUCCAUGUUAUAUCGUAUUUAUUACAUAAAUGACUUUCACUUUAUAUUAGGGGCUGCAAAAAGACCUUACUGAUGAUUAGGUAAAUGGUUUACAAAUGUUGGAUUAAUGAUUAAUUCAUGGUGAACACACACUUUAUAAAUGCCUUAUAAAUUAUUUAUUACAGUCCCUUAAAAUAAAGUGUUACCGAGUGCACACUUCAGGAGAAAGGAGAUAUUAUUUGAAAUGCACGCCUAUUUUCCCACAAUGUGUACUGCACUGCACCUCUACUAUGGGCUCCCAGGUCACUGCCCCCUGGUGGUUGGAUGUGAUUCCAGGGUCACUGCCCCCUGGUGGUUGGAUGUGCUUCCAGGGUCACUGCCCCCUGGUGGUUGGAUGUGCUUCCAGGGUCACUGCCCCCUUCCAGGGGUGGUUUGGAUGUGCUUCCAGGGUCACUGCCCCCUGGUGGUUGGAUGUGCUUCCAGGGUCACCGCCCCCUGGUGGUUGGAUGGGGAAUAUUUGCUGCUCCACUACUGCAAAAUUAUGGUAACGUUCCCAAAAUGUCCAGGUUUUCUAGAAAUCCUGAUUUUUUAAAAAAGAUUCCCAGAUUUCCUGCUUAUUCCAGGAAUUCUUCUAAUUUGGAUUUCUGGAAAAACCUGGACAAUUUGGUAAAGUUACCCGACACCGUCCUACCUACCCUUUUUCUGUUCUAACUGCCUCCAACUAAUAACUUGAGUUGGAUUGAGAUUAAAAACAAACAACUCUUUCUUCCUCCCUUGUUUCUGUUGCAUGACAACCUCUAGUGAGGAUGGAUUGUUCUGUUUUGAACCGAAAUCGAUAAAAAAUAUACCUUCUGUGUUUCAAACAUGUGCGUGUCUGGGUUUUUCUUUUGGUUGUAUUAAAACAAGUCAUUUUAAGGAAUAUUAUGAUUCUGGUUAAGAGUUUAUUAGGAGGAAAACGUGCAGAUGAUAAAAGAUGUCAAAUGUAUAGAACACAUUCAGUGUUCCGUAUGACAUUCAGUGUUCCGUAUGACAUUCAGUGUUCCGUAUGACAUUCAGUGUUCCGUAUGACAUUCAGUGUUCCGUAUGACAUUCAGUGUUCCGUAUGACAUUCAGUGUUUCGUAUGACAUUCAGUGUUCCGUAUGACAUUCAGUGUUCCGUAUGACA